GCAUGGGACCCACUGGGCCCCAACGUGGCACCGCCCAUAUAUGGAACUUUCCCUCUGGUUUCCUGAUUAUACUGAGUGUUUAUGUGUUGGAUCAUCAUCCCCUAACGCGUGGCCGGCCUACAGCAUGCAUCAUAUAGUACAGGAUACGCCGCUCACACGGUUUUGCAGUGCGAAUUGGUACUACUGCAGCUCAACAGAUCGACAAGAAUAUUAUUAGCAUAUAGAUCAGCUGAUAUGGAUCGAGGUCGAUGAUCCGAUCCUCCUGCAUGAUUUUAUUCCCAGCUCUGUCUUUUUCUACACAUCUGGUAUCAAAGGGCUGAAGCUCAUUCCUUCCCUCGCUGCUCAUAGGCGGCCGGAGAAUAUUCGAUAUCGAUCUUUGAAGUCACUGUCUUACCCGGCCGGGUCAACUUCACUUUCACCUCCUCAAGUCUGAAGCCGACUGCAGCAAUAGGAACUUUCUAGGAAACUUCCUCAGCCCUCACACCUCAGUUGGCUUAAAGCUUUCUCAGUAAGCUGGAGGGUAUUGCAGAUGACGCAUAAGAGGGUACUACCGACCGGAAUAUGAGGAGGCGAUGGCUAGACAGUACUGUCGACUAACCAUCUCAUGUCAUCUGGAGGAUACUGCCAACCAAAUGACGUAUCGGAGGGUACUGCUGACCAGAUUACUAGGAGGGGAUACUGCUAACUAGAUGACGCAUCGGAGGG